AUUGAACGCUGGCGGCAUGCUUUACACAUGCAAGUCGAACGGUAACAGGCCGCAAGGUGCUGACGAGUGGCGAACGGGUGAGUAAUGCAUCGGAACGUGCCCAGUCGUGGGGGAUAACUACUCGAAAGAGUAGCUAAUACCGCAUACGAUCUAUGGAUGAAAGCGGGGGACCGUAAGGCCUCGCGCGAUUGGAGCGGCCGAUGUCAGAUUAGGUAGUUGGUGGGGUAAAGGCUCACCAAGCCAACGAUCUGUAGCUGGUCUGAGUGGACGACCAGCCACACUGGGACUGAGACACGGCCCAGACUCCUACGGGAGGCAGCAGUGGGGAAUUUUGGACAAUGGGCGCAAGCCUGAUCCAGCAAUGCCGCGUGCAGGAAGAAGGCCUUCGGGUUGUAAACUGCUUUUGUACGGAACGAAACGGCUCUGGUUAAUACCCGGGGCUAAUGACGGUACCGUAAGAAUAAGCACCGGCUAACUACGUG
rnacentral:rRNA from 1 species